UCUUCCGGAACGCCGAGUCCUGCCGCCGGAGCAGCUGGCACCGCAGAACGCACCUACGGCAGGGGCGGGGGAACCAGGUAAGUCGCCCGAGAGCCGGUCAGAAGUGACCGACUCCGGGCUAGGGGUGAAGCCGUGCACAGCACGGCCGGGCAACUCCAGCCCGAAUCCGACAGCUCACCUCGCAGGCGUGGGAGAGGAACG
rnacentral:sRNA from 2 species